UCUAGUUGUAUGCACAGGCUUUAAGAUAAACUAUUUAGUAGGUUACCCUUAGUUUAGGCCAUAAUGGAAAACACAUUGACUUGAAAUAUGGGGUAGACUAAAAAUACUACUACUAAAUACUAAAAUUGGACAGUUCAGACGAUUUUUCAGGAACAACACAUUUUCGAAAAAUAUAAACUUCAAUUUUUUUAAGAAAUGCAAGCGGACACACAAUGCAUCAACUUUAAAUAUGGUGACCAGAUACAAGCAGACCAAAUGUGGGACGAGUAGCCUAGUGUUUGUGUGGGACAUGUCAACACCACCAAGAGGAGUUCACCGGCCCCAUGCACGUCUGCACGGUUUGAUGGACGGCCGUCACAGCCUCUCUUCUCAGCAACAGGAUAUAAGCCAGGCUAUUAGAAAUCCUUGGCUGUGUUGCAUUUGUAUGAGCCAGCGUGCUGAUUUUGAUGUACUGCUUUUAAGCCUCAACAGCAUAAAUGACUUACAGUAUGUGCCAGGUAGGUACAAGAAUGGAUCCAUGUGUUCUUAUUUCUGACAAUUAAAAACUAUGCAGGACAUUUAUCGCAAUAUCUAGGAUGGACAGAGGGUCAACAUGCUGUGCAGUGACACCUGGUCACCCUAACUGUGACCUCAUCUUCUAUGUGACCUCAUAAGCAGAUGUAUCAGGUUAAUAGCUUAUGACAUGAAGAGCAUGUCAUUAAUACAUCCCUAAUUGUUCUCUCCCUCUGGAUAUAGAGGUGGGGUGGUCAUCACGGUCUGAAAUCUUGAUGUGAAGUUUCAUGGUUCGAAACUGACUGAAAAUCAUGUUGAUUUCUGCCCACCCUGUGACCUCAGACAUGGACCCAUAUUCAUUCAAAGGACAUGACAGGACCACAGUGAACUUCUCCCAGGUCUCUAUGGGUGCAUGCUUUAUUGAAGUCGCUGACGCACUACAUUUUUGGUGCAAAUAGAUUAUGUGCACAUCCAAAGUUAAGAUAUGGUUCAGAUUAUCAGACAUGGUAAGAUUUAUCAUGCUAAAGAAAUGUAUGUAGCCUUUUUUACUAAUGUUACAAGUGCAUGUGUUGCCCUGCGGUAUCAUGGUAUACUGGGGUAUUUAGAAAUCCGGAAAGUAUGAUUUUCAAUACUGUCCUAUUAAAUUAUAUUAAGGGGUUAUUCAUUUGAAAACAAGCUCCCUGACAAUUAGCUUGCCUUUAGCCAAGUCUAGUCACGCCUUAAAAAAUACACUGAAAAAUGUGAUACAAGGCAUGAUUAAGGUAUUUUCCCCAUCAUAAUUCAAGGGAUUAUUAAUGAGUUGCAUGUUUGAAGUACAAGUUUUUUGUUUUGUUUUCAAGGCCCAACUCAAAAGGUCUGUGUUGACAAUGCAUAGCCUAUUUAGUGUGAACCCUUUUUGGAUACAUAUACAAGAAGAGUGAGAUCAAGAAUAAUUUGAAAAUGGUGUUUUUGCGGACUUUAACGUAGUUAUCUACUUAGUUUUAGACUAAAUCUCCUUACUGCUGUUUUAAAAAGAGCAAGAUUUUGUGUGUUUUGCUUAUGGAAUGAAGUCAAAAAUGUAUUAUUUUGUUUGUAUUUAUUUAAUGAAAUGUAACCAUAUUCUGAUUUGAUUAUGCUUUUCUUUUCUACCUUGUAUAUAUUAAAUG
ensembl:lncRNA